GGAUAUUUGAAUCUCCAGAUGGAUUUCGUCUCGGUUGAUCGAGAGUUGUGUGCGAUCCCGUGCUCUUCAGAAAUCCUGAAUCAAGCAAGUUUGAGAGCCGUGUUCCGCUGCAGCUCGAUAAAAGUUAAUUGCGAGAUUGUAGAUUCAGAUAUUUCUGUUCUAGAUCACUCACGAGGCUCUGAGGUGAGGUGAACUCUUCCUGUUGGCGAUGUGAUUGCGAGCUUUGUAAUGGAGCAGGAUCCCUUCUGAUCUAGCUGAAGGGAUGGAGAUACUUCAAGGUUUAUAGUGAGGGAGGAGUGUACAACGAGUAUCGAAAACCUCAACCAGGUAUUAUGUGGCAGUGAAUGCAUUGUUGUUCAAAAGUCGUCGUCGAAAUUUUCCUGAAGCGUCAGUUUCUGCUUGCAUCUUUUACUACAUGUCUGUGGUUGGUCCUGCAAAUGUAGAGGCCGAAUUGAGUUUGAAACUUUGAAGGAAUGCAAGACACGCUGUCCUUAUGCUUUGACCUGAUUUUUGAUCUCUUUGAAUUUUCGUGGGAGGAUGCAAAAUUGCAUUGGACCUAUUGUAUGAACCAAUGCAACACCAGACUAGUGGAUCCUUGUAUUGACUGAAAUCACAAUGACGUUCAUCCGUUUUAAUCAUGUGUGUGUGUGUGUGUGUAUAUAUAUAUAUAUAUAUAUACAUGUGUGUAUAUUUUUUCAUGAAAAACAUAUUCCAACGUGUUCAAGGACGCUUCUGUCAUGAAAUUUCAUGCUAGCCUUAUCUUCGACCAUAUAGAUUAUGAUUGGCUCAUAUAUGCACAUCUUGUAUUUAAUGCCUGUGCAGUAUUAUCGCUAUGCCUUUUUCUAAUUGAACUUAGCCUAAGGUUCUCUGAUAUGGUUGUAGGACGAGGUUGGCCCUUGUGUGUUAGGUUCUGGUCAAGUUUCUGCUCUAGUCAAUAAUUGGGCUGGUUUUGUCUAGCAGACCAGGUUUAGGGUUUAGGUGUUUAGGGUCUAGAGUUCCUUCAAGAACAUAGGCAUUUUUCGAUUUCAUUCUAGAAUUUUGACAACAGUUGUCACUGGAAAUUAUUAAUGAGAAACGGGGCUAUGCAUUCUAAUGAGUUAUUAUGCA